rnacentral:rRNA from 1 species
GUGAGGAAUAUUGCACAAUGGGCGCAAGCCUGAUGCAGCGACGCCGCGUGGGUGAUGAAGGUUUUCGGAUCGUAAAGCCCUUUUCUGUGUGACGAGACAAGGACGGUAGCACAGGAAUAAGUGUCGGCUAACUACGUGCCAGCAGCCGCGGUAAAACGUAGGACACAAGCGUUAUCCGGAGUUACUGGGCGUAAAGGGCGUGCAGGCGGUUUCUUAAGUCAGGCGUGAAACCAUUCGGCUAAACCGGGUGUAGUCGUCUGAGACUGGGAGACUAGAGUGUGGUAGAGGCGUGUAGAAUUCCGGGUGUAGUGGUGAAAUGCGUAGAUAUCCGGAGGAAUACCAGUGGCGAAGGCGGCACGCUGGGCCAUAACUGACGCUAAGACGCGAAAGCAUGGGUAGCGAACGGGAUUAGAUACCCCUGUAGUCC